rnacentral:rRNA from 1 species
UACGUAGGCAGCGAGCGUUGUUCGGAAUUACUGGGCGUAAAGAGUGUGUAGGCGGUGCUCUAAGUUCGGUGUGAAAUCUCCCGGCUUAACCGGGAGCGGUCGUUGGAAACUACUUGGCUUGAGGCGAUGAGAGGGGUGUGGAAUUCCCGGUGUAGUGGUGGAAUGCGUAGAUAUCGGGAGGAACAUCAGUGGCGAAAGCGGCACCCUGGCAUUAGCCUAACGCUCAGGUGCGAAAGCGUGGGGAGCGAACGGG